GGCGUCGCUCGGGUGACAUCAAAACUGUGACUACACCCGUAGAAGCCUAUGUGGCGUUGCCUUCGGACAGGGGUUCGACUCCCCUCGGCUCCA
rnacentral:tmRNA from 1 species